UACGUAGGGGGCGAGCGUUGCUCGGAAUUACUGGGCGUAAAGCGCACGUAGGCGGUCUUUUAAGUCGGGGGUGAAAUCCUGGAGCUCAACUCCAGAACUGCCUUCGAUACUGGAAGACUUGAGUCCGGGAGAGGUGAGUGGAACUGCGAGUGUAGAGGUGAAAUUUGUAGAUAUUCGCAAGAACACCAGUGGCGAAGGCGGCGCACUGGCCCGAUACUGACGCUGAGGCACGAAAGCGUGGGGAGCAAACAGG
rnacentral:rRNA from 1 species